UACGUAGGGUGCAAGCGUUGUCCGGAAUUAUUGGGCGUAAAGAGCUCGUAGGCGGUUCGGUAAGUCGGGUGUGAAACCUCCAGGCUCAACCUGGAGACGCCACCUGAUACUGCUGUGACUCGAGUCCGGUAGGGGAGCGUGGAAUUCCUGGUGUAGCGGUGAAAUGCGCAGAUAUCAGGAGGAACACCGAUGGCGAAGGCAGGUCUCUGGGCUGACACUGACGCUCAUGCACGAAAGCGUGGGGAGCAAACAGG
rnacentral:rRNA from 1 species